rnacentral:lncRNA from 1 species
UCGCCGUAGAAGGACCUAGGGCUAGGGUUUCGGAGAGUUGAGUUAGGGAGUAGUUGCGCCUGGGUAAGGGGGGAGCUCACAGGGUAGCUGUUGGGAAGAGAGGCGUGGCUGCCGUGCCGCCACCGCCCGCUGUGCGUGCACGAGCGAUGGAGGAGGAAGAAAGGGAGAAGGACAGACUUGCCAGAGGAAAAGAAUGUCGGGGGGUUAGGAGCAAAAUAUUCAGGUUUAAGUGUUAGGUGGGAUUUCUCCUAGGGACCUGAGCGCAUAGAUCCGAGGGCUGUUCUAUAAAAAGAAGGGCAGAUCCGUUGGGAAACAAGGUUCCUAGGUCCCUCGGUGUGAAAGUAGUCUAGUUAAAAUUUGUAAAUCUUGGAUGAAACUUGUGAAAUCCAUAGUAAAUAGUAGGAAAAUAUUGAAAUUCAAGCUAAUUUUUGUUGGCUUCUUGAUGCUCAUUUCUACCUAGAAAAAUAUUUGUUCAUGUGAAGUCUAUCUUUCUGUUGCUCAAUAAAAUUCAUGUUGUUUAACCUCCUUAAUUUGGAAUAAAUAGCUAUAUUGCUCUAAAAAUUCUGAUACAUUCUCAGUAACAUACUGCAGUAUUGAUAGAUAUUAUGGGAAGUUUUUUGCACUAGAAUGCUGAUAGAUCUUUAGUUAUAAUUC